rnacentral:rRNA from 1 species
UUUAAUGCCGUUAAUCGGGCCAGGGGUAACAACCAGUGAAGAAAGGGCCGGGCAAGACCGGUGCCAGCCGCCGCGGUAAUACCGGCGGCUCGAGUGGUGGCCACUAUUACUGGGCUUAAAGCGUUCGUAGCUGGUUUGUUAAGUCUCUGGGGAAAUCUUCCGGCUUAACCGGAAGGCGUCUCAGGGAUACUGGCAGACUAGGGACCGGGAGAGGUGAGGGGUACUCCAGGGGUAGGAGUGAAAUCCUGUAAUCCUUGGGAGGACCACCUGUGGCGAAGGCGCCUCACCAGAACGGCUCCGACAGUGAGGGACGAAAGCUGGGGGAGCAAACCGGAUUAGAUACCCGGGUAGUCCCAGCUGUAAACGAUGCGCGUUAGGUGUAUCGGUGACCACGAGUCACCGAGGUGCCGAAGAGAAAUCGUGAAACGUGCCGCCUGGGAAGUACGGUCGCAAGGCUGAAACUUAAAGGAAUUGGCGGGGGAGCACCACAACAGGUGGAGCCUGCGGUUUAAUCGGACUCAACGCCGGGAAACUCACCAGUUAAGACAGCUGAAUGAUAGUCGGGCUGAAGACUCUACUUGACUAGCUGAGAGGAGGUGCAUGGCCGUCGUCAGUUCGUACUGUGAAGCAUCCUGUUAAGUCAGGCAACGAGCGAGACCCACGCCAACAGUUGCUAGCUCGUCCUCCGGGAUGGAGAGGACACUGUUGGGACCGCCUCUGCUAAAGAGGAGGAAGGAAUGGGCAACGGUAGGUCAGCAUGCCCCGAAUUAACUGGGCUACACGCGGGCUACAAUGGGUGGGCCAAUGGGUAUCGACACCGAAAGGUGAAGGCAUCUCCUAAACCCAUCCGUAGUUCGGAUUGUGGGAUCUAUCGGCCACAUGAAGCUG